GGCCAGUAUUGCAGGUGAAAUUAAAGUUUCUAAUGCGGUCAUGCACUGGUCAGGACUUCAUAAGCAUGUCAACCUUACAUGGCACAUUCCUUCUUUCCGACAUCUAUGGGGCUACUUAAAUCAGCCCUAAAGAUGUCGUUUUUCAUGCAGAUUGUGCGGUACGAACAGACGAGACAGUUUACCCUUUAUUAAUCUUUUAAUACAAGGCAGCCAUCUGCUGGUGGUCAAAGGUAUCACGGGAUACCCAUAAUGCACUCCAUACAGAAAGCAAAUAACAUUUAUAAAAACACCUGAAAAAAGGUUCAUACAUACACAUCAAUGAAUCCCGAUGACCAGAUCAUCUUUACACGGUAUAAGUGACCAGAUUAUCAAUAUUUUCAGCUCUGCGGUCAUCAAUGCACAAGGAAAGUUGCUCCAAAGUUCUCCACAAUAAAAGUACAGCAGAUACACUAUUUACAAGUCUGCGUCAGUCGAAGGUCCAUUCAAGCUCCCUGCUCACAACAGGGUUGCCAGGCGACUCUGCAGAAGGGAGGAAGAGAGGGAGGCCGGGGUUAGUUCUCCGUGGUUCAGCCGAAGUCAGCUCUGUAUCAACAGCCUUCAUCAGUCUACCUGCAGGCGUCUGAUUCCCUCGAGGGCCG
ensembl:lncRNA